GACGAACGCUGGCGGCGUGCUUAACACAUGCAAGUCGAACGGAAAGGCCCUGCUUUUGUGGGGUGCUCGAGUGGCGAACGGGUGAGUAACACGUGAGUAACCUGCCCUUGACUUUGGGAUAACUUCAGGAAACUGGGGCUAAUACCGGAUAGGAGCUCCUGCUGCAUGGGGGGGGUUGGAAAGUUUCGGCGGUUGGGGUUGGACUCGCGGCUUAUCAGCUUGUUGGUGGGGUAGUGGCUUACCAAGGCUUUGACGGGUAGCCGGCCUGAGAGGGUGACCGGCCACAUUGGGACUGAGAUACGGCCCAGACUCCUACGGGAGGCAGCAGUGGGGAAUAUUGCACAAUGGGCGGAAGCCUGAUGCAGCAACGCCGCGUGCGGGAUGACGGCCUUCGGGUUGUAAACCGCUUUCGCCUGUGACGAAGCGUGAGUGACGGUAAUGGGUAAAGAAGCACCGGCUAACUACGUG
rnacentral:rRNA from 1 species